rnacentral:rRNA from 1 species
GGUUAAGUGACUAAGCGUACACGGUGGAUGCCUUGGCAGUCAGAGGCGAUGAAGGACGUAGUAACUUGCGAUAAGCGUAGAUGAGGCAGUAACAGCCACUUGAGUCUACGAUUUCCGAAUGGGGAAACCCACUGGCAUAAGCCAGUAUCAUUGAGUGAAUACAUAGCUCAAUGAAGCGAACCGGGAGAACUGAAACAUCUAAGUACCCCGAGGAAAAGAAAUCAACCGAGAUUCCGAAAGUAGCGGCGAGCGAAAUUGGAUUAGCCCUUAAGCUUUACAUGUGUUAGACGAACGGUCUGGAAAGUCCGACGAUACAGGGUGAUAGUCCCGUAGUUGUAGAUGCAUGUUCAGUGAAAUCGAGUAGGGCGGGACACGUGUUAUCCUGUCUGAAUAUGGGGGGACCAUCCUCCAAGGCUAAAUACUCCUGACUGACCGAUAGUGAACCAGUACCGUGAGGGAAAGGCGAAAAGAACCCCUGUGAGGGGAGUGAAAUAGAACCUGAAACCGUGUACGUACAAGCAGUAGGAGCACCUUCGUGGUGUGACUGCGUACCUUUUGUAUAAUGGGUCAGCGACUUAUAUUCAGUGGCAAGGUUAACCAUCUAGGGGAGCCGUAGGGAAACCGAGUCUUAACUGGGCGCCAUAGUCUCUGGAUAUAGACCCGAAACCGAGUGAUCUAGCCAUGGGCAGGUUGAAGGUUGAGUAACAUCAACUGGAGGACCGAACCGACUAAUGUUGAAAAAUUAGCGGAUGACUUGUGGCUAGGGGUGAAAGGCCAAUCAAACUCGGAGAUAGCUGGUUCUCCCCGAAAGCUAUUUAGGUAGCGCCUCGGACGAAUACUACUGGGGGUAGAGCACUGUUAAGGCUAGGGGGUCAUCCCGACUUACCAACCCUUUGCAAACUCCGAAUACCAGUAAGUACUAUCCGGGAGACACACGGCGGGUGCUAACGUCCGUCGUGGAGAGGGAAACAACCCAGACCGCCAGCUAAGGUCCCAAAUUACAGCUAAGUGGGAAACGAUGUGGGAAGGCUUAGACAGCUAGGAUGUUGGCUUAGAAGCAGCCAUCAUUUAAAGAAAGCGUAAUAGCUCACUAGUCGAGUCGGCCUGCGCGGAAGAUGUAACGGGGCUAAGUUGUAAACCGAAGCUGCGGCAAUGUUCUUUGAACAUUGGGUAGGGGAGCGUUCUGUAAGCCGUUGAAGGUGUGUUGUAAAGCAUGCUGGAGGUAUCAGAAGUGCGAAUGCUGACAUGAGUAACGACAAGGGGGGUGAAAAACCUCCCCGCCGGAAGACCAAGGGUUCCUGUCCAACGUUAAUCGGGGCAGGGUAAGUCGACCCCUAAGGCGAGGCCGAAAGGCGUAGUCGAUGGGAAACGGGUUAAUAUUCCCGUACUUCUUACAAUUGCGAUGGGGGGACGGAGAAGGCUAGGUGGGCCUGGCGACGGUUGUCCAGGUUCAAGUGCGUAGGCUGAGUGUUUAGGUAAAUCCGGA